GUGCUCGCUUUGGAGCACAUAUACUAAAAUUGGAAUAAUACAGAGAAGAUUAGCAUGGCCCCUGUGCAAGAAUGAUAUGCAAAAAGCAGGAAUGGAAUAAUAUUGU